GGCGGAGUGGCCGAGAAGGUGGUGGGUUGUAGCUCCAAGUACAGAGGUUGAGUCCUCUCUCCGUCA
rnacentral:tRNA from 1 species